GAGUUUGAUCCUGGCUCAGGACGAACGCUGGCGGCGUGCUUAACACAUGCAAGUCGAACGGUGACGACGGAGCUUGCUCUGUCUGAUCAGUGGCGAACGGGUGAGUAACACGUGAGUAACCUGCCCCCGACUCUGGAAUAACCGUGGGAAACGACGGCUAAUACCGGAUAUGAGACGCACAGGCAUCUGUGUGUCUGGAAAGAUUUAUCGGUCAGGGAUGGACUCGCGGCCUAUCAGCUUGUUGGUGGGGUAAUGGCCCACCAAGGCGACGACGGGUAGCCGGCCUGAGAGGGCGACCGGCCACACUGGGACUGAGAUACGGCCCAGACUCCUACGGGAGGCAGCAGUGGGGAAUAUUGCACAAUGGGCGCAAGCCUGAUGCAGCGACGCCGCGUGAGGGAUGAAGGCCUUCGGUUGUAACCGUAC
rnacentral:rRNA from 1 species